UCCGCUGGUCAUAGAGAAAGGGCCACACCUCUUCCCAUUCCGAACAGAGUCGUUAAGCCUUUCUUCGCCGAUGGUACUUGCCGGGCAACUGGCUGGGAGAGUAGGGCGUCAGCGGGA
rnacentral:rRNA from 1 species